UGGCGAACGGGUGAGUAACACGUGGGUGAUCUGCCCUGCACUUCGGGAUAAGCUUGGGAAACUGGGUCUAAUACCGGAUAGGAGCCAUCUUUAGUGUGGUGGUUGGAAAGUUUUUUCGGUGUAGGAUGAGCUCGCGGCCUAUCAGCUUGUUGGUGGGGUAAUGGCCUACCAAGGCGGCGACGGGUAGCCGGCCUGAGAGGGUGUGCGGCCACAUUGGGACUGAGAUACGGCCCAG
rnacentral:rRNA from 1 species